rnacentral:rRNA from 1 species
UGGUGAGGGCUGCUUACCAUGCAAGUCGAACGGCAGCACGGGUGCUUGCACCUGGUGGCGAGUGGCGAACGGGUGAGUAAUACAUCGGAACAUGUCCUGUAGUGGGGGAUAGCCCGGCGAAAGCCGGAUUAAUACCGCAUACGAUCUACGGAUGAAAGCGGGGGACCUUCGGGCCUCGCGCUAUAGGGUUGGCCGAUGGCUGAUUAGCUAGUUGGUGGGGUAAAGGCCUACCAAGGCGACGAUCAGUAGCUGGUCUGAGAGGACGACCAGCCACACUGGGACUGAGACACGGCCCAGACUCCUACGGGAGGCAGCAGUGGGGAAUUUUGGACAAUGGGCGAAAGCCUGAUCCAGCAAUGCCGCGUGUGUGAAGAAGGCCUUCGGGUUGUAAAGCACUUUUGUCCGGAAAGAAAUCCUUGGCUCUAAUACAGUCGGGGGAUGACGGUACCGGAAGAAUAAGCACCGGCUAACUACGUGCCAGCAGCGGCCGGUAAUA